rnacentral:rRNA from 1 species
CCUACGGGUGGCAGCAGUGAGGAAUAUUGGUCAAUGGUCGCGAGCCUGAACCAGCCAAGUCGCGUGAAGGAUGACGGUCCUAUGGGUUGUAAACUUCUUUUGUGCGGGAGUAAAAUACGCCACGCGUGGUGUUUUGUGGGUACCGGAUGAAAAAGCAUCGGCUAACUCCGUGCCAGCAGCCGCGGUAAUACGGAGGAUGCGGGCGUUAUCCGGAUUUAUUGGGUUUAAAGGGUGCGUAGGCGGAAGGUUAAGUCUGCGGUAAAAUUGAGAGGCUAAACCUGUCCGAGCGGGUGAAAUUGGUUUUCUUGAGUGAGUGGAACGUAUGCGGAAUGCGUGGUGUAGCGGUGAAAUGCAUAGAUAUCACGAAGAACUCCGAGUGCGAAGGCAGCAUACGGGAGCUCUACUGACGCUGAUGCACGAAAGUGUGGGUAUCGAACAGGAUUAGAUACCCUUGUAGUC